AUACGUAGGGGGCAAGCGUUAUCCGGAUUUACUGGGUGUGAAGGGAGCGUAGACGGAAGGCCAAGUCUGAUGUGAAAGCCCGCGGCUCAACUGCGGGACUGCAUUGGAAACUGGUCAUCUGGCGCGCAGGAGGGGUAAGCGGAAUUCCUAGUGUAGCGGUGAAAUGCGUAGAUAUUAGAAGGAACACCAGUGGCGAAGGCGGCUUACUGGACUGUAACUGACGUUGAGGCUCGAAAGCGUGGGGAGCAAACAGGAUUAGAUACCCUGGUAGUCCACGCUGUAAACGAUGAUUACUAGGUGUUGGGGACCAAAGGUCCUCGGUGCCGCCGCAAACGCAUUAAGUAAUCCACCUGGGGAGUACGUUCGCAAGAAUGAAACUCAAAUGAAUUGACGGGG
rnacentral:rRNA from 1 species